GACGAAGGAUUCAAGCGUUGUCCGGAUUUACUGGGUUUAAAGGGUGCGUAGGCGGAAAUAUAAGUCAGUGGUGAAAUCCCGCAGCUCAACUGCGGAACUGCCAUUGAAACUGCAUUUCUUGAAUACGGUUGAGGUAGAUGGAAUGUAACAUGUAGCGGUGAAAUGCCUAGAUAUGUUACAGAACUCCGAUUGCGAAGGCAGUCUACUAAGCCGUUAUUGACGCUGAGGCACGAAAGCGUGGGGAGCAAACAGG
rnacentral:rRNA from 1 species